AUGGAUCAUUAAAACAAAAGUCUUCUGACUUUAUACCUGCUGUGAAUUUGUUUCUAAUCUGGAAUGGGUAUGCGUGAAAGCUUCGUAUUUCACUGCAUGCUUUUUUCCACUUUUCUUCAUUAUUUACCCUUAUGUAUCGACUUGAUGUACAAUUUCUUUCUUUUUUGAAAGAAAACAUAUGAAAUUUUCGUGCAACUCUUAGCAACGGAUAUCUUGGCUCCC
rnacentral:misc_RNA from 1 species